UAUCACUUCCAGGCCUAUUUGUGCUGGAUACUUCGUUAACAAGUGUGUAACAAACCUGAGUGCUUGACCUGAGGAGUCUCACUGCUCUGCCUUGUGGAAGGAUUCCUACUGGAAGGCAACAGAAUCUCCUUCAAGGCAAAUUCUUCCAUGUCUUCUGCUACAAGAGCUGCUCACUGAUCUUGGGGUUUGUGGAUGAGGAGCAGAAUCCAUUGCUCUGUACACAGGAGAGAAAGCACUGAUCAUUGACUGAGGCUUUCCUGUCUUUAGCACCUGCUGGGAGAUGUAACACCUUUUGAAUCUCAGAAAAUGACACUUGAUUGAAUUAUCUUUCAUUUCUGGAUAAAGUUAUUUUCUCCUUUCA